rnacentral:rRNA from 1 species
UGAGUAACCUGCCCCAGACUCUGGGAUAAGCACUGGAAACGGUGUCUAAUACCGGAUAUGAGCUUCAGCCGCAUGGCUAGGAGUUGGAAAGAAUUUCGGUUUGGGAUGGACUCGCGGCCUAUCAGCUUGUUGGUGAGGUAAUGGCUCACCAAGGCGACGACGGGUAGCCGGCCUGAGAGGGUGACCGGCCACACUGGGACUGAGACACGGCCCAGACUCCGUACGGGAGGNAC